GGGGAGAAGACAUUGUGUCUUCGAGUCGUUGAUUUCACACUGCCGAGAAAAGCCUCUAGAUAGAAAAUAGGUGCCCGUACCGCAAACCGACACAGGUAGUCAAGAUGAGAAUUCUAAGGUGAGCGAGCGAACUCUCGUUAAGGAACUCGGCAAAAUGACCCCGUAACUUCGGGAGAAGGGGUGCUCUUUAGGGUUAACGCCCAGAAGAGCCGCAGUGAAUAGGCCCAAGCGACUGUUUAUCAAAAACACAGGUCUCUGCUAAACCGUAAGGUGAUGUAUAGGGGCUGACGCCUGCCCGGUGCUGGAAGGUUAAGAGGAGUGGUUAGCUUCUGCGAAGCUACGAAUCGAAGCCCCAGUAAACGGCGGCCGUAACUAUAACGGUCCUAAGGUAGCGAAAUUCCUUGUCGGGUAAGUUCCGACCCGCACGAAAGGCGUAACGAUUUGGGCACUGUCUCAACGAGAGACUCGGUGAAAUCAUAGUACCUGUGAAGAUGCAGGUUACCCGCGACAGGACGGAAAGACCCCGUGGAGCUUUACUGUAGCCUGAUAUUGAAAUUCGGCACAGCUUGUACAGGAUAGGUAGGAGCCUUUGAAACGUGAGCGCUAGCUUACGUGGAGGCGCUGGUGGGAUACUACCCUAGCUGUGUUGGCUUUCUAACCCGCACCACUUAUCGUGGUGGGAGACAGUGUCAGGCGGGCAGUUUGACUGGGGCGGUCGCCUCCUAAAAGGUAACGGAGGCGCUCAAAGGUUCCCUCAGAAUGGUUGGAAAUCAUUCAUAGAGUGUAAAGGCAUAAGGGAGCUUGACUGCGAGACCUACAAGUCGAGCAGGGUCGAAAGACGGACUUAGUGAUCCGGUGGUUCCGCAUGGAAGGGCCAUCGCUCAACGGAUAAAAGCUACCCCGGGGAUAACAGGCUUAUCUCCCCCAAGAGUUCACAUCGACGGGGAGGUUUGGCACCUCGAUGUCGGCUCAUCGCAUCCUGGGGCUGUAGUCGGUCCCAAGGGUUGGGCUGUUCGCCCAUUAAAGCGGUACGCGAGCUGGGUUCAGAACGUCGUGAGACAGUUCGGUCCCUAUCCGUCGUGGGCGUAGGAAAUUUGAGAGGAGCUGUCCUUAGUACGAGAGGACCGGGAUGGACAUACCUCUGGUGUACCAGUUGUCGUGCCAACGGCAUAGCUGGGUAGCUAUGUGUGGACGGGAUAAGUGCUGAAAGCAUCUAAGCAUGAAGCCCCCCUCAAGAUGAGAUUUCCCAACUUCGGUUAUAAGAUCCCUCAAAGAUGAUGAGGUUAAUAGGUUCGAGGUGGAAGCAUGGUGACAUGUGGAGCUGACGAAUACUAA
rnacentral:rRNA from 1 species